rnacentral:rRNA from 1 species
AUUGAACGCUGGCGGCAGGCUUAACACAUGCAAGUCGAGCAGGGUGAUGGUGCUUGCACUAUCACUUAGCGGCGGACGGGUGAGUAAUGCUUAGGAAUCUGCCUAUUAGUGGGGGACAACAUCUCGAAAGGGAUGCUAAUACCGCAUACGUCCUACGGGAGAAAGCAGGGGAUCACUUGUGACCUUGCGCUAAUAGAUGAGCCUAAGUCGGAUUAGCUAGUUGGUGGGGUAAAGGCCUACCAAGGCGACGAUCUGUAGCGGGUCUGAGAGGAUGAUCCGCCACACUGGGACUGAGACACGGCCCAGACUCCUACGGGAGGCAGCAGUGGGGAAUAUUGGACAAUGGGGGGAACCCGGAUCCAGCCAUGCCGCGUGUGUGAAGAAGGCCUUAUGGUUGUAAAGCACUUUAAGCGAGGAGGAGGCUCUUUUGGUUAAUACCCAAGAUGAGUGGACGUUACUCGCAGAAUAAGCACCGGCUAACUCUGUGCCAGCAGCCGCCGUAA